GUGGUGCGCUGGGUGACUCGGUCCAGCCCGAAGAACUCCAAGUGUCUGGAAUAGAAGGAGAUGCUGUGGCCCUCCGCUGUUCUUACGAUACCAGCUAUACCGGUUCAGUCUAUCUGAAUUGGUACCGUCAACAUCCGAAUCAAGCCCUACAGUACAUUCUCAAGAGAGGAGUGAAGCGAGCUCAGGGUUACACCCAUACUGCAGAUUUAGCCGGAAAGAGGUUUUCUUCCCAGGCUGAUGACAGCUCCACAGUUCUGAACAUCACAGCCCUGGAGCUGGCAGACACCGCGGUGUAUUACUGCGCCCUGCAGAGAGCACUGUGA